rnacentral:rRNA from 1 species
CCUACGGGAGGCAGCAGUGGGGAAUAUUGCACAAUGGGGGAAACCCUGAUGCAGCGACGCCGCGUGAGUGAAGAAGGAUUUCGGUAUGUAAAGCUCUAUCAGCAGGGAAGAAAAUGACGGUACCUGAUUAAGAAGCACCGGCUAACUACGUGCCAGCAGCCGCGGUAAUACGGAGGGGGCAAGCGUUAUCCGGAUUUACUGGGUGUAAAGGGAGCGUAGCCGGCAGCGCAAGUCUGACGUGAAAUGCCGGGGCUUAACCCCGGAACGGCGUUUGAAACUGUGCAGCUAGAGUGCAGGAGAGGUAAGUGGAAUUCCUCGUGUAGCGGUGAAAUGCGUAGAUCUUAGGCGGAACACCAGUUGCGACGGCGGGUUCCUGGACCUUACCUGCCGCUGAGGCACGCAGGCCCGGGGAGCGCACCGGAUUAGAUACCCUUGUAGUC